rnacentral:tRNA from 1 species
GUCCCCAUAGCUCAAUGGAUAGAGCGCGAGCUUGCGGAGCUCGAGGUUAGAGGUUCGACUCCUCUUGGGGACG